AGCUCAGUGAUUAGAGCCAAUUACAUUGGCAAUAUACGCUAUACUGAUCAUAUUUUGAUGAAAAGUUUAUAUGAGAGCU
rfam:Triticum aestivum genome assembly, contig: Triticum_aestivum_CS42_TGACv1_scaffold_320636_4BL